rnacentral:rRNA from 1 species
GAUGAACGCUGGCGGCGUGCCUAAUACAUGCAAGUCGAGCGAACGGACGAGAAGCUUGCUUCUCUGAUGUUAGCGGCGGACGGGUGAGUAACACGUGGAUAACCUACCUAUAAGACUGGGAUAACUUCGGGAAACCGGAGCUAAUACCGGAUAAUAUUUUGAACCGCAUGGUUCAAAAGUGAAAGACGGUCUUGCUGUCACUUAUAGAUGGAUCCGCGCUGCAUUAGCUAGUUGGUAAGGUAACGGCUUACCAAGGCAACGAUGCCUAGCCGACCUGAGAGGGUGAUCGGCCACACUGGAACUGAGACACGGUCCAGACUCCUACGGGAGGCAGCAGUAGGGAAUCUUCCGCAAUGGGCGAAAGCCUGACGGAGCAACGCCGCGUGAGUGAUGAAGGUCUUCGGAUCGUAAAACUCUGUUAUUAGGGAAGAACAUAUGUGUAAGUAACUGUGCACAUCUUGACGGUACCUAAUCAGAAGGCCACGGCUAACUACGUG